GACGACGACGACACUAUAUACGAGUAGGGCGCGCGCUGGUCGGGACACACGUACACUCACACAUACACACAUAUAAGCGCGCAAGCACACGCACGAAAGCUCGCUCGCUCGCUGCUACGCUGCUGCUACGGAAAGUUCAAUAAAUUCCCAUCCUCUGUGGAGUGAGCACAACGCGAGCCGCCGCCGCAUCUCUCACUCUGUCUCUGUAUCUCUCGCGGUAGAGUAGUACGGUCUUCAUCGUACACGUACGGCUAGGAAAAAAGUAGUUGUUCGCGACGCACACACACGCACAGACGCGCGCGCGCGACUAAACGCGCUCCAGAGAGGAUCAUCGCCAAAUACAGUUCGAUAAAAAGAAAAAAACCCGCGAGUGCAAAUAGAUACAAGAUAUCUGUUUGAUCCCAAGAAAGAAAAGUUUGGUUUCAAGUGUUGUAGAUUUUUUUUAUUGUAUUCAAGGGAAAAAAGGAGAAGAAUUAUAUAAAAUUAAUUCAGAAUGUCGUCCGCGGUGGCUAAAGCAUCAAAGUAUACCUAUCGCUCGAGCGGCACCGGCCAGGCCGACGUCAGCUUCGAGUACAGCACCGACCUGAGCGCGCUCUCGAGGCUCGAGGACAAAAUCCGCCUUCUUCAGGAUGACCUCGAAACCGAGAGAGAGCUGCGCCAGAGGAUCGAACGCGAGCGCGCAGAUUUGAGCGUGCAAGUAAUCCAGCUGUCCGAACGCCUUGAGGAGGCCGAAGGUGGCGCCGAAUCUCAGUUCGAAAUUAACAAGAAGAGAGAUACAGAAUUAGCCAAGCUCAGAAAGAUCCUCGAGGAUGUGCACCUCGAGAGUGAGGAGACGGCCCACUUGCUGCGCAAGAAGCACCAAGAGGUCGUCGUCGAUUUCCAGGACCAGAUCGAUCAGCUGUCGAAAUCACGCGCCAAAAUCGACAAGGAAAAGACGAAAUUCCAGCAGGAGGUGUACGAGCUCCUGUCCCAGCUCGACAAUGUCUCCAAGGAGAAGCUCAUGUCCAUCAAGACCGUGGAGAAGCUGGAGAUCCACGUGUCCGAGUUGAACGUGAAGAUCGAGGAGCUGAACCGCACCAUCGUCGACAUCACCAGCCACAAGACGCGCCUAUCGCAGGAGAACAUCGAGCUCACCAAAGAGGUCCAGGAUCUCAAGGUCAACAUCGAGAACGUCAGCUAUCUCAAGUCCCAGGUCGCCAGCCAGCUCGAGGAUGCCCGCCGUCGUCUGGAGGACGAGGAGCGUCGCCGCUCGCUCAUCGAGGCCUCCCUCCAUCAACUCGAGUCCGAGGUCGAGUCCGUCCGCGUCCAGCUCGAGGAGGAGUCCGAGGCUCGUCUCGAGCUCGAGCGUCAGCUGGUCAAGGCCAACGGCGAGGUGUCCGUCUGGAGAUCCAAGUACGAGACCGAGGCCAACGCCCGCGCCGAGGAGGUCGAGGAGAUCCGCCGCAAGUACACCGCUCGCAUCCAGGAGCAGGAGGAGCACCUCGAGACCCUCGUCGUCAAGAUCAACAAUCUCGAGAAGCAAAAGUCCCGCCUGCAGUCCGAGGUCGAGGUACUCAUCAUCGACUUGGAGAAGGCCAACGGAACCGCUCGGGAGCUGCAGAAGCGCGUCGAGCAUCUCGAGAAGGCCAACAUCGAGCUCAAGGCUAGGCUGGACGAGACCAUCCAGCUGUACGAGGCCAGCCAGCGCGACCUGCGCAACAAGGUACAGGAGCUCCAACGCACCAACGCCGAGUUGGACAAGACGCGCGAGCUCAAGGAUCAAUUGGUCCGCGAGAACAAGAAACUUGGCGAUGAUCUUGGCGACGCCAAGAACCAAUUGGCCGACAUGAACCGCAGACUGCACGAGCUCGAGCUCGAACUCCGCCGCCUCGAGAACGAGCGCGAGGAGCUCGCCGCCGCCUACAAGGAAGCCGAGGCCGGCCGUAAGAUCGAGGAGCAAAGAUCGCAGCGUCUGUCCGCUGAAUUGAGCCAACUGCGCCACGAGACCGAGCGCCGUCUCGCCGAAAAGGACGAGGAAAUCGAAGCCAUCCGCAAACAGACGAGCAUCGAGAUCGAGCAGCUGAACGCCCGCGUGGCCGAGGCCGAGAUCAAGCUCAAGACCGAGGUACAGCGCGUCAAGAAGAAGCUCCAGAUCCAGAUCACCGAGCUCGAGCUCUCGCUCGACGUCGCCAACAAGACCAACAUCGAUCUCCAGAAGACCAUCAAGAAGCAGUCGCUCACUCUGACCGAAUUGCAAUCUCACUACGAUGAGGUACAACGCCAGCUCCAAGUUACGCUCGAUCAGUUGGGCAUCAGCCAGCGCCGUCUGCAGUCGCUCACUUCCGAGAUCGAAGAAGUCCGCGGAAACUACGAAUCCGCCCUGCGCGCCAAGCGAUCGGUCGAGCAGCAGUACGAGGAGGCCCACAGCCGCAUCAACGAGCUCACCACGAUCAACGUCAACAUCGCCUCGAGCCGAGCGAAGCUCGAACAGGAGCUGUCCACCUUGGCUGGAGACUACGAAGAGGUGACCAAGGAGCUGAGAGUGAGCGACGAGCGCUACCAGCGCGUCCAGAACGAGCUCAAGCACACCGUGGAGAUUCUGCACGAGGAGCAGGAGCGCAUCGUCAAGAUCGAGACCAUCAAGAAGAGCCUGGAGAUCGAGGUCAAGAAUCUGUCGGUUCGUCUCGAGGAGGUCGAGGCCAACGCCAUCGUCGGUGGCAAGCGCAUCAUCAGCAAACUCGAGGCUAGGAUCCGCGACUUGGAGCUCGAGCUCGACGAGGAGAAACGCCGACACGCCGAGACCGUCAAGAUCCUGCGCAAGAAGGAGCGCAACAUCAAGGAGGUGAUGAUCCAGGUCGAGGAGGACGCCAAGAACAUCGCCCUGCUCCAAGAGUCCCUGGACAAGACUACCCAGAAGGUCAACAUCUACAAGCGCCAGCUGCAGGAGCAGGAGGGCGUCUCGCAACAGAGCGUCACCCGGGUACGCAGAUUCCAGCGCGAGCUGGAGGCGGCCGAGGACAGAGCCGACACCGCCGAGUCGAAUCUCUCGCUCAUCCGCGCCAAGCACCGCAGCUUCGUCACCACGUCCACCGUACCCGGAUCACAGGUCUACCUCGUGCAGGAGACGACGACGUCAACGCAGCAAUUGUAAAAUCUCUCUCUCUCACAACACAACAUUAAAAACAGUAAACGAUAUCAGCCCACAACGAGACCACGUCAUUCUUUGUCAUUGACAAGCUACAAUUAAAUUAUUAUAUUCGAGCGAGAGAGAGCGACGUCCAAGAUCCACCGCGCGAACGCCGUCAUCAUCGAAUUUUUUAGUUGUAUUUUCAUCCUAUACACAAAAUAAAAACAGACAUUUUUAAUAAAACACCUCAAGUUUGUCUGAUAAAGACUCAACAUUACAAGUCGAGUUUCCUUCCUCUCUUUCUCUUUCUCUAUCUCUAUCUAUCUCUCUAUCUCGCUCGGACGAU
rnacentral:misc_RNA from 1 species